AUUGAACGCUGGCGGCAUGCCUAACACAUGCAAGUCGAACGGCAGCACGGGUGCUUGCACCUGGUGGCGAGUGGCGGACGGGUGAGUAAUACAUCGGAACAUGUCCUGUCGUGGGGGAUAGCCCGGCGAAAGCCGGAUUCAUACCGCAUACGAUUCACGGAUGAAAGCGGGGGCCCUUCGGGCCUCGCGCUAUAGGGUUGGCCGAUGGCUGAUUAGCUAGUUGGGGGGGUAAAGGCCUACCAAGGCGACGACCAGUAGCUGGUCUGAGAGGACGACCAGCCACACUGGGACUGAGACACGGCCCAGACUCCUACGGGAGGCAGCAGUGGGGAAUUUUUGACAAUGGGCGAAAGCCUGAUCCAGCAAUGCCGCGUGUGUGAAGAAGGCCUUCGGGUUGUAAAGCACUUUUGUCCGGAAAGAAAUCCUGGACUCUAAUACAGGCGGGGGAUGACGGUACCGGAAGAAUAAGCACCGGCUAACUACGUG
rnacentral:rRNA from 1 species